UAAUACUGGAUAGGCAAUUAUUUCCUGUAAUUGGUUUUUUUGUUUAAAUGUUUUUUCGCCUAAGGAUGGGUCUGCGGCCGAUUAGGUAGUUGGUUAGGUAAUGGCUCACCAAGCCUUUGAUCGGUACGGGUUGUGAGAGCAAGAGCCCGGAGAUGGAACCUGAGACAAGGUUCCAGGCCCUACGGGGUGCAGCAGGCGCGAAACCUCCGCAAUGUGAGAAAUCGCGACGGGGGGGAUCCCAAGUGCCAUUCUUAACGGGAUGGCUUUUCUUUAGUGUAAAAAGCUUUUGGAAUAAGAGCUGGGCAAGACCGGUGCCAGCCGCCGCGGUAACACCGGCAGCUCUAGUGGUAGCAAUUUUUAUUGGGCCUAAAGCGUCAGUAGCCGGUUUAAUAAGUCUCUGGUGAAAUCCUGUAGCUUAACUGUGGGAAUUGCUGGAGAUACUAUUAGACUUGAGACCGGGAGAGGUUAGAGGUACUCCCAGGGUAGAGGUGAAAUUCUGUAAUCCUGGGAGGACCGCCUGUUGCGAAGGCGUCUAACUGGAACGGUUCUGACGGUGAGGGACGAAAGUUAGGGGCGCGAACCGGAUUAGAUACCCGGGUAGUCCUAACUGUAAACGAUGCGGACUUGGUGU
rnacentral:rRNA from 1 species